CCGCGUGAGUGAAGAAGGCCCUUGGGUCGUAAAGCUCUUUUAUGGGGGAAGAUAAUGACGGUACCCCAAGAAUAAGCACCGGCUAACUACGUGCCAGCAGCCGCGGUAAUACGUAGGGUGCGAGCGUUGUUCGGAUUUACUGGGCGUAAAGGGCGCGCAGGCGGAAUAGCAAGUCGGAGGUGAAAGCCCGGGGCUCAACCCCGGAGGGUCUUUCGAAACUGCUAAUCUAGAGAGGGUCAGGGGCCAGCAGAAUUCUUGGUGUAGAGGUGAAAUUCGUAGAUAUCAAGAGGAAUACCGGUGGCGAAAGCGGCUGGCUAGGACCACUCUGACGCUGAGGCGCGAAAGCGUGGGGAGCAAACAGGAUUAGAUACCCCAGUAGUCC
rnacentral:rRNA from 1 species